GACGAACGCUGGCGGCGUGCCUAAUACAUGCAAGUAGAACGCUGAAGAGAGGAGCUUGCUCUUCUUGGAUGAGUUGCGAACGGGUGAGUAACGCGUAGGUAACCUGCCUUGUAGCGGGGGAUAACUAUUGGAAACGAUAGCUAAUACCGCAUAACAAUGGAUGACACAUGUCAUUUAUUUGAAAGGGGCAAUUGCUCCACUACAAGAUGGACCUACGUUGUAUUAGCUAGUAGGUGGGGUAAAGGCCCACCAAGGCGACGAUACGUAGCUGAUAGGAGAGGAUGAGCAGGAAGACUGGAAAUGAGACAAGGUCAAGAAUCCGACGGGAGGCAGAAGUGGGGAAGAUUGGAAAAUGGGGGAAAGCCUGAUCCAGAAAUACCGCGUGGGUGAAGAAGGUUUUCGGAUUGUAAAGCCUGUUAAGUGGGAAGGAAGGGCAGUAAGUUAAUACCUUGCUGUUCUGACGUUACCAAAAGAAUAAGCACCGGCUAACUUCGUG
rnacentral:rRNA from 1 species